rnacentral:lncRNA from 1 species
UUGAAAAACAUUUCUCUGCUUUUACCUCAACACACAAUGUUCCCAUCUGAGCCAACUCAAACUAUAAUUAACAUUUUUACUCAUUUGUACUUCAGCUGAGGUGUGAAGUGAACCUGAGGAGCUGUCGUUACACCCAGGUUUAUAGCUGUGCACUAUAAUUUACCCAUGAAUAUAACUUGUAAGCCUUUUUAAUUUUGACUGAACUUGAGAGAAUCAACUUUGUACUGAUGUGAUCUCUGUCAAAAAUGACAUUUCUUUGAUUUUUUUUUUUUUGUCCACAGGAUUGUUGAAGAAAGAGUGAGUUGUUAACAAAUAAAAAGGGUGAGAUGAUGGGUUGCAAUAUUAAAUUAAAAAAUUCAUCAAAAUUGAAGAAUUUUUUAGAGUUUUUAGGGUUAGAUGAUAUAUUUAAUAAAAGCUUAAAAAAAACAGACAAUAACACCAGAAAUUAAAUAAACACUUAAAACUUAUCACACUAUACCAUAGAUAUAUCACAAACUUCUUUUAGCUUCAGUCUUGCAUGUAAGUAACUUAUAGAGAAACGCAGUUCAAAUAAACAUUUCUCUCAUGGGUGGUGCUGCCAAAAUUACCCAACAUUACACGUGCAUUUUUAUUCUGUCAAAAAAAAAUCAAGUAUCUGAUAUUCAGCUACAGCAAGAGAUUUGGGAUUACUUCAACGAAAUAUACGAAUAUAAUGCAGUUGAGCCCCAAACAGAGCCCUUAAACAGAAACCUUUAUCCUUUGAGUGGUCAUGCAUUGAUUUUGUUAUUUCAUAUUCACUAGAAUCAGUGUGACAUCCACAUUAAUACCAUUUGGGGUUAGGGUUUUCUCGUUUCAGCGACCAAAAGUGAAACCAAAGUGACGCCUUGUGUUCAUUUGUUCCACACAGAAAACCACCAACACCUGAUCUGUGACGUAAAAUGCCUGCCUUUACUUUAAAAAAGAGUUUCUGUGUUAAACUUGUUGUCCUCUCCACAUAAAGAGUAAAAAGUUCUGAGUUACAUGUAUUUAUUAAUAUGGAAUAAGAAAAAGGUACUUCUCAAGUUUCUUCAAGUAAGAGGAAUGUUCCUUGAUGGAAAUGAUACGAUCAAGACCUUGAUAAGUAAAACUGGCAUGUUUUUUUCUACUAAUUACAAGCAAUUCAGGUCUUAUUUGGCAUAAAGUAUCUGAAAAUAAUCCACUAUUUGUCCAGUGAGUGUGGCUUAAAUUAAAAGUAGUAGACACUUUGUGCUAAAUAUAAGACCAAAAAAAGUUUACUAGGAAUUGAGUUUUUGCAGCAAGAGGUAUUAAAAAACGAAUAAUUUUAGUCAAAAAUGAAGGUUUUGUAGUCAGAGGACACCAUCAACUGUACAUCGAUCAAUAUCUCUUCAUGUUUAUUUAAUCUAAUCAAUUUUAACUACACAGGCCCUGAAGGCAUCCAUUUUCAUUCUGUUUAUUAUCAAUAUUUUGAAAUACCCUUUUUUGGGGAGAAAAACAAGAAAAAGUGCUUAAUUCUUAAUCAUUAGAGGUCGAUCCAUCAGCACUAAAUGUCAGGCUGUGUCAGCUGGUCUAUUAAUUCACAUCAAAUCAGUGUGUGUGUGUGUCAGGGGAAAGCUGAAAGUUUCCAGGUUGGAAACCAAGGUGUGGAUGGUUGGAGUUCAAGGUCUCAUUCAGGCUUGUGUUUCGAAAUGUUUCCUGGCAGAAAAGAGAGAGAGAGAGAGAGAGUGUGUGUGUGUGUGUGUGUGUCAGGUAGUCAGAGGGAAAGUGAACAGGUGCCUCCUGCGCUCCCUACACACACAGUUCCCUGAUAAUGCAUAUCAUAAAUAUUGAUCAUCUUGUCACUGUUGCUUGUAGGGUGCAUGUUUGAUCUGCAGGUUGUUAAUGUGAGCAGGUGGAGGUCAACAGUUUUAUUCUGCCUCCGGUCAUAGAAACUAAUAUUGACACUUUAUAUGUUUUAUGAUUUAUUAAACAGCUGGUGGAGUUUAGGUGAGCGGCCUCAGGGGGUUAGCAAAUGCGAGUAUGUUUUUUUUUUUAAUCUGCCAGAUGUACCUCCACUGACAGGAUUUUUAGCAACAGAGUGCAGUGCUGGCUGAAACACAAUUAUUACAUUACUCAGCUGCCUGCUGUCCUAUCAACAGUGCAUAUGACCACUCUGGGUCUUGAUCAGCUCCCAAACUGCUUUUGUUCAGUGUGAAUGUUAAUGAUUUCUUUUAAAUACCAUCAUCUGUCAUUCUGCAGCUGCACGUCUUUCUCUGGAUCAUCUUAACUUCAUUUAAAAUUGACUUUAGACUGGAAGAUUAGUACAAAGGACUCAAAACACUCUUUCAAAACAUGCAAGUUUGAGCUGAGUCUGGUGUGAAACAGUCCUGCUUUUCUUGAUGUUAGCCUUAAACUACAUACAGUAUCUUUUUCUUAUACUUUUCUUUGUAUGGUACCUUACUAAGUAUUUUUUUAGAAGAUAAAUGCCCAUUGAAAAGUCGUUACCCCCAACCUCCAGUGAGCUUGCACCUAUGUCAUCCUUUGAACCAGUAUUUUCCAUCUGCAUCCUUUGGUCAUAUUUUAUGACCAAAGGAUGCACAUCAUCAUAUGUGAUGGGCGAAAACAGAUCUCGGCUGUGUUAAAUCCACUCCAUGCCUUAUCCCCUCCCUCUUUACAACUUACACCGCUGGGAGGAGCUGACUUAGGGAGAGGGGAAACUUACGCCGGGCUGCGCUGCUCACCAAAAUACCAAAAUGUGCUCGGGCAUGCCUUGUCGGUGCGGCGGACCUGACUUACGCCGCACCUAUGCCAUGCCGCCGGCGAGGCAUGAAAAUAGAGCCCAAUAAGUUCAUACUCAGAGUGAAAAAUAAGAGGGACUUGUACUUGUUUUAAUGAUACAUAGCAGUGUGUUUGAUGAUACGUUUUGCCUUGGGUUGUUAGAUUUAAAAAAAAAAUUAAUAUAUUUUUAUUAAUAAAAAUGUCUUGUGUUGUGUGUACAGAAACUUUCAAAAGCUUAAUCCAAACACAAAAUCCACCUGCAUUACAGAUUUUAGUCAGAGGCAGUGCCAGAGCAGCUGUAUUAGCAGUGACUUUCAGCUCUUCAUGAAGUCCCCAAUGAGACAGGAACAAUGUUGAAACUGUUUAUGAAAAUCAAACUGCAGCGAUUAAUCCUCUCUGGACGUGCAUCUGAAAACACUGCUGGCAAUUAUUGAAGUUAAAAACAAUCACGGUUCUGUUUGAAUAGUCCCAAUCUGUGCACAUUUAAACAUGCUCUCACAAUGUUUGGUUUCAAAAGUAAGUCAGGAAGCAGCUGCCUCGUCUCGUUUAGUUUCUGUAUUUACCAAAACAUUUUUAAAAAGUAAGAUUAAGUUUCUGUAUGCUAGCACACAGGUUUCAGGUUGGAAGUGUUUACAUAAGUGCCAUAUGGUUUAGUAUGUGUGGUUCCUGAGAAUAUAACUUCCUAUUCUGCAGUGUCUCAACUCAAAGCCCACGCUGUAACACUCCUGUACAGGCUUUGUAGCGACACUGCAUGACAUUUAACACUUACAUCACUGCUGCAACAAUCAGCUGGAAAAUAACAGCAGCGCUUUCAUCAGACAGUCACAGGAAAUGAUUUGAAUUUACCAUGAUUAGCUCAUUGUCAGUGAGUCACAAUAAGUCAUUUCUUCUCUUACAAUCAGCUUCAUUUUAACAUGUGUUUGAGUUGAAAAACAGUACGAACACUUUCAAUACAGCUUUUUACUUUUACUCCUUGCAUCCUCAAAUGAUUAUAUCUACUUUCCACUGAUUACAUUUUCAAACUAGCUGUGUUACUAUGGCUUCAACUCGUAUAAGAGAUCAGAUAAGGAACAUAGUGUUACUUUCUGGUCUGUCCUCCCACGGCAGUCCAGAGUGUUUGCACAUGAUAGAUGAUUCUGGAAGUGACUCUGCAGGGUGACAUAAAUCUCUAUUUAUGGGAGGAAACCUUUUCUUUACAACCUCUGGCUGAUGCGCCUAAAAACUACAGCAGCCAGGGACACUCAUGGAGCAAAAUCUGACCUUCAGAUGAGGAUUGAUUGUGUGAAAAUGAGCAUCCAAAAGGGAGGUGGGGGUUAUAAUCUGCCCUGUGAUAACCAACAACAACUUGUCUGAUGUCAGAGGAAGCACGAAGCUUUUAACCCUCUGAAUGAAUCAUAGUGGAGAGAUUAGCACACGUGUUCACCAGCAGACGUAGUGGAACCUUUAAUGGCACUCGUGUGUCAGUGUGUGUGCUGUCUACUUCGGUACAAUAUGUGCAUCCGGGUAGAUGCUAAUCGAUUGUGUUUGUGUGUCUCAGUGUGUGUUUAGUGUGUUAAUGGCCGGGGCUGCUCACCCAGCCAUGGCCUGCACACACUGAGUCACUCCUCGGAUUGCAGGAGGCCGGGGAGAGGCAGGUGGCAGAGCUCCAGCUGCACAACGGCAUGAACACACACACUCACAGAAAUAGGUACACAACCACAGAGAGCCCCCACACACACAUACCUGCUGUCGUUCAUCCGUAAACAACAGCAUCGUGAUAAUCGUCUGUUGUCACCUCAGAGAUAUUUAACUCGGUGUGUCUGUUUGUGCCGCAGGCUGCAGUUCCAUACAUACUGAAUGUUUUCACAGACAGAAGGCAGAUGGUUUGGCACAAACAGCUGAAAUUACAACAACACAUACACAGACAGAGGAAUAUUUUGUCCCGAGCAUGCAUUCAUGACAAAACUCUGCCAGUAAACACAUCUUGUUCCAUCACAGAAGUCCAGUUGAGCUCCGACUUUGCUGCGCUCGAAUUACUUACCUAAUACCACCUACACACUGAAGACAAAAGCCACAGACUGCUGCGUAAACAGGAAUCUAAUGAUGGAGAUAAAAUAAAGUUAGUGUGAAUUUAUGGGAGUCAACUUGAGGACUGAGUCCUGAACUCAACCCAAACACAGAUUGAGUUCUGUAUUGUUUGUUGGUGCCUCAGGGGGACUGUGCUUGCAGUGUUGUUCAGAUGUCUGUGUUAGAAUUAAGGAAGUUGUGGCCUUAAUUAUCAGCUGAGAGUUGUAGCAUCACUCUAAAAGCUCUUUUAAUGGAUGUCUACCCUUAAAAAGAGUAUUUGUCGUUCACUCUUACAGCUUGCUGCAUUUAAAAAACCGCUCUAGUGAAAUCUAACUGUCGGCUGCUGUUCAUGGUUCACCUAAAGAAAAGCAGAUAACACAAAAUGACAUAAAUGCCUUUUUAAAUAAACCUUUCACAAAAGCUGGCAGGCACUGCAUUGAAUAUCACUACAUAUGUGCAUGAAACUAAAUCAGAGUUGAUCGGUUUGUCACAAUUACUUAUCGUCUUAGAUCAUGAAGGAAAACCAAUGUUAGCAAAGCCACAGAAACACAAAAAAUCCAAAGCCAAAUCUGGAUGUUGUCAGCAACAGCCUUGUUAUUGCUUUUUUUUCUCUUCAGAAACAGGCCGCUAUUUCUAGCAAAAUUCUCUAGAACCAGAUACUAAUGCUACUUGUGCACCACAGACAAGCCAAGAAACAACUUUGCCAAAAAAGAUUAAAAACUCCUCCAGGUCCUAGGUGUGUGAAAAUAAGACAUUGUUUGCAAGACAUCCAAAAAUAUUUAUGUUGCAGGAUAAAGAUUUUGCCAAAAUACAUUGAAAUGCUCCUUAAAAGUAAAGCAAAACCUAAUGCGGCACAUGUUUAGAAACCUGGCAAACUGAAGAGGACAAAUAAAAGUUCAAUGACUUUCACAGCCUAGCCUGUUUCCCCUUUAGAAAGUAUUCUGUAGAGGGGAAAAGGUUUUUGAAUUUCAUUGAAAAUCUACUCUGGAUGCUUUCGUUCAGCCCAAACAGAGAGAACGAGGUAAUAACUCAGAGUGUUUCCUAGAAAGCUGCUCGCUCCCUUAGGCACAGGAGUGUCUCUUCAGAAACACAUAAUAAACUGUCUGCAGGUCUACAUGCUGUAAUUUCUGUGUAGGUGUCUUCCUGUCAACAGUUACAAACUACCUGACCCAACCUGACAUUUCUACAAUCUAAAACUCGGGUUAUCUUUAGAUCAUUUGCUCCAGUCUUACCCUCCUCCACAACUCCACAGUCUCUCAUUAUACUGUCACAUGAUCGUUAAAGGAACAUUCAAUCCUAAAAUAAGAAUAUUUUCAACUGUGAAAAAAAAUACUUUCUAUUAAGGAACAUCCCCACGGUUCCUGGAUUUUUUUCCUUCAAUAACUUGGAUGAUAGAGCCCC